GUUAUGAUAUAUAAUAAAUCUAGUUAGGGGAAGUGUUUGACAGAUUUAUGACUCCUCCCAUGUUAUGAAUUGCUGCCCAGCAAUUAGUUGUCCAUCCUUAAUAGUUUCAUUCCUAAUUAGUUCUUUCUGAGCUAUUGCUUGCUACAAUGCGGAGUUUUAAAUGAGUGCCUUACUUUCUUUGUCAACUUACAGAAUUGGACCAAAAAGAGCCCAUCAGGAAACUGUUCAUUCAUACGUCGAAUUUCAGACCAGUAAUUAUGAGCAUCCUCUUGUGUGAACAGUGGAAGGCUCCCUGGAGAGAAAGUUCAUUAGCAUCCCAAGGGCUCAGCCCAAGGUGUGUUUGCCCAUCUGCUCCAGGAAGGAGUGAAUGUCCUUUGAGAAGGCAGCUGAGAUGGUAACUGUACGCGGGCUUGGAAUGAAGCAAGAAACCACUAAGUGACCAAAUGUGCCGAAAGCAAACAUUUGUAUGGUUUCUGAACUGACAUGAAAGCUGAGCUGAACUGCUCAGUG